rnacentral:lncRNA from 14 species
ACUCACCAGGCAGCUUUCUUGCAGCAGAAAAUUUGGUCUUACCUGUGGACCCGAGGCUCAGGUUCGCUCGUGGGGUGCUGCCCAGGGGCUCUCUGCAGCGGCAGCAACCAGGAAGCCUUCAUGUCUUUCUUGAAGUCUUCCAGCAUCAUGAUCAAAUAUGAUUUUGAAACUAGAUCUUGCUUUUCUGGUGUGUUUGGAUAUUCCGUGUUUGCUUUGGUGGGAGAAUUGGGCUCUGAUGAUGACAUGUAGUCUUGAUUUCUGUUGCUUGGGUUCCUGCGCUUGCCUCUCACCAUCAGAUUAUCUCUAGUGUUACUCUGUUCUUCUAUUUCUGACAGUCUCUAGACUGUACAAAGAAAUAACUAUGGCUCUUUCUAGACAAUUACUUUCAACCAACAUAUCUAAAAAAUUCUAUCUAUUGUACACACACAGACUAGUCUGUUCUUAUUUGGAUAUCGUAUCUACCUUCUGUAUUAAAGGCAGAAGUGAACCGUUUCCAAGAUACCAAAAGACUCCUUCAAGAUUAUUACAGAGCAAUGGAAUCCAAAAUCCCACUGGAAGACAAUAAGAAAUUUACUCGAAUCCCAUUGGUUCAACUCGAUGGUAAAGAAAUUUCAGAACACCAGCUCAGAAUUCCUCUAGUUCCUCGAAUAUCCAGUUCUCCAGAAAAUGUUAGCAUGAGACCAAAGGUGAAAGCAUUACUGAAGGGCAGAUUCGAUCCACCACUGGAAAGUCUGGAAGCCAACUUUGAAGGAGAUGAGAAGAUAGUAUUAGACACCUGGCAGCAGGCUUCCUUAGCCAUCUCCCAAAUGGUGGCUGCUGAAGUUCAUCAAAGGCUCGCAGAGGAAGAAAAGGAACAACCCCAACUAGAUCCCAAAGAAAAGUCUCCUCAGUCGGGUGCAAACAAAAAGGCCAAGAAGGAGAAAGAACAGGCCAAGAAGGAGAAAGAACAGGCCAAAAAGGAGAAAGAACAGGCCAAGAAGGAGAAAGAACCGCCCAAGAAGAAAAUGGCAGAAAAGAAAGGAAAAGGUAAAUCAUCCCCUGUGGUAGAAGUCAGUCCCGUCACAAUAACGCCCGAGGAAAUGGCUGAAAUGGAAAGGAAGAAUGAGCUGAAGCUCAAGAUAAAGGAAGAACAUCUUGCCGCCCUGCAGACAGAAGAACAAGCCACACAAUUUCGACUUGAACUAAUAAAGUCAAAAGCUUUGUCCAUCCUGGAAGAUUUAGUAACAAAGGUGAUUGAGGUUUACAGGUUCAUGGAAAAAUGGCUUGGUAAGAGAUAUUUGAAUGAAAUGGCCAGUAUACAGAAAUUGACCGAAGUAGCUCGCUACCACAUUGAGACAGCUACGAAAAUUCAAAAUGAGAUUUAUUUAAGCCAAGAAGACUUCUACAUCAAUGGAGACAUAAAAGUCUUCCCUGACCCUCCUCCACCAACCCGCCCACCACCGGUAGAAAAGGAAGAAAAUGGCACCCUAACAAUCGAACAGCUUGAUAACCUUCGAGAUCAGUUCUUAGAUAUGGCGCCUAAAGGCAUAAUAGGAAAUAAAGCUUUCACUGACAUUCUGCUUGAUCUGGUUACCCUGAACCUGGGAACAAACAACUUGCCUAGCAGCUGGAUGCACCUCACCCAACUGGAUUUGCAGGAGAUAACAUCUUUAUUAACAGUCAACACAGAGUUCGUGGACUGGAGGAAGUUCUUGAUGGUAGCAGCCAUGCCAUGGCCCAUCCCCCUGGAGGAGGAGCUCCUGGAGACCCUGCAGAGGUUUAAGGCCACCGAUGAAGCUCAGACAGGCACCAUCACCUUUGAACAAUAUAAGCAGGCUGGUCUAUGGUUUUCAGGAGAUGAAGAUAUAAAAAUUCCAGAAAAUCCCCUUGAACCCUUGCCAUUCAAUAGACAGGAGCAUCUCAUAGAGUUCUUCUUCAGGCUGUUUGCUGACUCUGAGAAGGAUCCACCUCAGCUUGACUACACUCAGAUGUUGCUGUAUUUUGCCUGCCACCCAGACACUUUGGAAGGAGUCUACAGGGCCCUCAGUGUGGCUGUGGGGACUCACAUAUUCCGGCAGGUUGAAACUCCAAUGCUAACUGCAGAAAAGACCUCCAUCUCCUCUGUGAGUCCCAAUGAGGAAUUCCCUGAAGCUGAAGAAAACAGUACAAGAGAGGAGCUGAAGGAGGAGAAAGAUGAGAGGGACCAAAAGGAAGAAGAAAUCCCAGAAAAUGCAAACACUGAAAAGAUUUCCAUGGAAACACUGCUCAAAGUGUUUGGAGGAGGAAAUGAAGUGCUGGACGCUAACAGAUUUGCCAGCUACCUAAAGACAGAGAAUAUUUACUCAGAGAACCUCAUCAAGACGUUCCAGGACCUGGGUGCCAAGAACCUAGAGCCAAUCGAAGUUAAUAUUCUCUUGAAGCAUCCUUACAUUCAGGACCUGAUUACGAAUUAUGUAGACUAUAAAAUCCCUGACAUUAAAAUGAUCCUUCAAAGGAGUGAGCAUGCACAAGGCAGUGAUGGAGAAAGGUCACCCUCAAGACUUACAGACGAAAAGAAGUGAAGACUGUGGUUUAUUUUUUUAUUUUAUUGAAUAAAUAUUCAUAAUCGAAU